rnacentral:lncRNA from 1 species
ACAGUAUUACUAAUAAAAUAAUACAUUCUGUCAAUCAUUCUCUCUUUUUCCCCUUUGUACAGGGUCACCCUGGGCAAUCUGGACCUAGAGGUCUGCCUGGCCUCGAUGGCUGCAAUGGUACCACUGGGAGUCCUGGUGUUUCUGGAUCAGAUGGGUUUCCUGGCCUACCUGGGCUGCCUGGUCGUCCUGGCCCAAAAGGCCUUAAAGGAGAACCUGUGUUUGCUCAAGGCAGUCUUAAAGGAAUGAAGGGAGAAAAUGGUCUUCCUGGAUUGGAUGGAAUUUCUGGCCCAAAAGGUUUUCCAGGUCCAGUAGGCUCUGCAGGCCCUAUAGGAUUACCAGGUUUGCAGGUAAGAGACCUGACAGAACAGUUCAAAAUGAUGGCAGUUUUCCCUCCUUAUCUAUAUUUGUUUCACAACA